rnacentral:rRNA from 1 species
CCCGGGCGGCACGGGUGGAGUAACACGUAUCCAACCUGCCGUCUACUCUUGGACAGCCUUCUGAAAGGAAGAUUAAUACAAGAUGGCAUCAUGAGUCCGCAUGUUCACAUGAUUAAAGGUAUUCCGGUAGACGAUGGGGAUGCGUUCCAUUAGAUAGUAGGCGGGGUAACGGCCCACCUAGUCUUCGAUGGAUAGGGGUUCUGAGAGGAAGGUCCCCCACAUUGGAACUGAGACACGGUACCAA